rnacentral:rRNA from 1 species
CACAUUCCACGUGGUCCGUGACGAAGUUAACACAUUAAGCACCCCGCCUGGGGAGUACGGUCGCAAGACUAAAACUCAAAGGAAUUGACGGGGGCCCGCACAAGCGGCGGAGCAUGCGGAUUAAUUCGAUGCAACGCGAAGAACCGUACCAAGGCUUGACAUAUAGAGGAAACGUGCAGAAAUGUACGCCCCGCAAGGUCUCUAUACAGGUGGUGCAUGGUUGUCGUCAGCUCGUGUCGUGAGAUGUUGGGUUAAGUCCCGCAACGAGCGCAACCCUCGUCCUAUGUUGCCAGCACGUAAUGGUGGGAACUCAUGGGAGACUGCCGGGGUCAACUCGGAGGAAGGUGGGGAUGACGUCAAAUCAUCAUGCCCCUUAUGUCUUGGGCUUCACGAAUGCUACAAUGGCCAGUACAAAGGGCUGCAAUACCGUAAGGUGGAGCGAAUCCCAAAAAGCUGGUCUCAGUUCGGAUUGAGGUCUGCAACUCGACCUCAUGAAGUCGGAGUCGCUAGUAAUCGCAGAUCAGCAACGCUGCGGUGAAUACGUUCCCGGGCCUUGUACACACCGCCCGUCAAGUCACGAAAGUCGGUAACACCC